UAGUCCAGCACUUUCAGCUACCUCUAAAGCAGCAAAAACAGCUCCUUUCCCAGCUAAUCUAAGAGCCAAGCCCUCGGGAUCCUCCUUACACUCUACUUCAACCUCUUGCCAGCUGCUAAAGUGAUCGUCAGCACUUAAUAUAUGGCCAUACUUCUGCAAAGCUUGUCUGAUUUUCAUGACUUGAUUUCUAAGAGAAUCAGAUUGAGGCAGGUGGCAGCUGCACAUAGUAAGAACAUUCAAAGCAGCAUCCAG
rnacentral:misc_RNA from 1 species